GGUCCCAUCACCCCCCAGUCACCCUAUGGGGCCUAGUAGUCACCCUGUAGGGCCUGGUAGUCCCCAUGACCACCCUACAGAGCCUACUGGUCACCCUGUUGGUCCCAUCACCCCUCCAGUCACCCUGUGGGGCCUGGUGGUCACCCCAUGGGUCCCACCACCCCACAGUCACCCCAUGGGUCCCAUCACCCCCCAGUCACCCUGUGGGGCCUACUGGUCUACCCUGUAGGGCCCGCCAGUCCCCAUGGCCACCCUACAGGGCCUGGUGGUCCCCCCAUGGGCCCCACCCCCCCCCAACCCCCCCGCGGGCCCCCCCCCCCCCCCGGGGCCGCCCCACAGGGGGGGGGACCCCAAAAUUUCUCCCCUCCUCCCCCUCAUGGGGAAACCCAAAACCGCCCCCAAUAAACGGCUGUGGUGGGACUGGGCCUCGGCGUCUUCUUGUGCGUUCCCUCCAAAAAAAAAACACCCAAAAUUGGGUUUUCUCUGAAAAAAGUCUUUAAUAAAUACACAGCGCCCCUGCCCCGCACUGGGGGGGGAUCCCCAAAAUCCUUUAAAGCUUCAGGAGGGGUAAUUUUGGGGGAAGUUGGUGGCAUUUUGGGGUCUCCCAUGGGUUCUCGGUGGGCUUUGGUGGGAUUUGGGGUCCUGGGGGGGUUGGGGUCCCUGUGUGGGUUUUGGGGUCCCUGUGAGGUUUUGGGGAUGUUUGGAGGCUUCGAGGGGGGUGCCAUUGGGGUGUUGGUCCCAUUUUUGGGGUGCCCCGGUGGGAUCCUGGUGGUCCCAAAGCACUUUUGGGGUUCUGUGGGGGAACUUGGGGUGUUUGGGUCCAGUUUUGGGGUCUCUGAGGCCUCCCAGUGCCCCAUUGGAGGGGGGGGAACAAAGUUUGGGGUCCCC
rnacentral:lncRNA from 1 species